rnacentral:rRNA from 1 species
GACGAACGCUGGCGGCGUGCCUAAUACAUGCAAGUCGAGCGAGCUUGCCUAGAUGAAUUUGGUGCUUGCACCAGAUGAAACUAGAUACAAGCGAGCGGCGGACGGGUGAGUAACACGUGGGUAACCUGCCCAAGAGACUGGGAUAACACCUGGAAACAGAUGCUAAUACCGGCUAACAACACUAGACGCAUGUCUAGAGUUUAAAAGAUGGUUCUGCUAUCACUCUUGGAUGGACCUGCGGUGCAUUAGCUAGUUGGUAAGGCAACGGCUUACCAAGGCAAUGAUGCAUAGCCGAGUUGAGAGACUGAUCGGCCACAUUGGGACUGAGACACGGCCCAAACUCCUACGGGAGGCAGCAGUAGGGAAUCUUCCACAAUGGACGCAAGUCUGAUGGAGCAACGCCGCGUGAGUGAAGAAGGGUUUCGGCUCGUAAAGCUCUGUUGGUAGUGAAGAAAGAUAGAGGUAGUAACUGGCCUUUAUUUGACGGUAAUUACUUAGAAAGUCACGGCUAACUACGUG